rnacentral:rRNA from 1 species
AACGAACGCUGGCGGCAUGCCUAACACAUGCAAGUCGAACGAGACCUUCGGGUCUAGUGGCGCACGGGUGCGUAACGCGUGGGAACCUGCCCUUAGGUUCGGAAUAACUCCCCGAAAGGGGUGCUAAUACCGGAUAAUGUCUUCGGACCAAAGAUUUAUCGCCUUUGGAUGGGCCCGCGUUGGAUUAGCUAGUUGGUAGGGUAAAAGCCUACCAAGGCGACGAUCCAUAGCUGGUCUGAGAGGAUGAUCAGCCACACUGGGACUGAGACACGGCCCAGACUCCUACGGGGGGCAGCAGUGGGGAAUAUUGGACAAUGGGCGAAAGCCUGAUCCAGCAAUGCCGCGUGAGUGAUGAAGGCCUUAGGGUUGUAAAGCUCUUUUACCCGGGAUGAUAAUGACAGUACCGGGAGAAUAAGCUCCGGCGAACUCCGU